UUUUACCCCUGGUUUCACAGACAAGGCUCGACUAAAAUGUAAAUCUGAGCUGUUUCAACUGAAAGAAACCUGCACUGACCGUUCUUAAAACAUGUCAGUGCCUUUGUUUUGUCUUAAGAUGCACACCAGUAAUGCUUUUUUCUAAGGCAUGUUUAUAAAAUUUACUUAAAUGUCCUAAUUGAACUAUGGCCUAAUCCUGGCAAGAUUUUUUUCUUCUUGAAAUGGGCUUCCAUAUAUUUACUUUGAUUUUUCUUUAUUUUUGCCACACAUAUAUCAAAAUGUCAACUUAGCUAAGAAUUGUGGAAAUGAUGACAAUUAUCAUAAUUUGUGUAAAACUAAAACAAAUUUCAGACAAUACAUUUUUAAUUUAAAUAGUUCUGAUAACCCUAGUUCAAUCAUUCUUUCAUUCAUUUAUUAUUCAUUUAUUUAUUUUGUAAUAAUAUUUGUACUAUAAAUUUUCAUUGUGUGACAAGGAUAAAAGAAUAAAAUUUAAUCUGUAUUAUGGCAGGAGGAUGCAACACUGUGAACUAUUGUCUGCACAUACGCACACACAAACAAACACGCAUUUACACAUCAGCAGAGAUCUGGAUGUUUUCACCCAUCACUCAAAUGAUCUGGACAUUAACCGGAUCAGACUCUGAGAGCCUGGGGACAUUAUUCUCUGCAGUACUCUCAGAUCCUUCCUGGAGCCGCAUGGAGCACCUCUCAUCUUCAGGUGUGACACAGUGUCGCCCACUUUGCCCCAGGCCCCUAAUCUCACCCCAAAUCCCACCACCACGGUAAGCGGCAUCGCCAUCUGUCUCUAUGGUAACCUGAGAGAGUCCCGUGAGAGGGGUGACGGAUGCCUGGCACACGCACACAUUGCCAACUCACCAGCAUGGCACGCAGCGACCUGCCAUAUGGUGCCACCCCAUAUAUCUAGCGACAGAAGCAGAGGAAGACCUGCAUGUCCAUCCAUGCUGAUAUAGCUCUGGAAUUACGACAGCAGUGUGAACGACUAGUUGCCGCAAUAUGGCUCUAAAAGAUUCAUUAGCGCACUAGGCUUUCC
ensembl:lncRNA